CAAAUAAAAAUGAAUAAAAGAAAAAAGAAGAGAACAACAUGGAUGUAAUUAAACCGCCGGCAGCCCUGAAACUCACGGGAAAUGUAGACAGUCAUUGGAGAACAUUUAAGCAGGCAUUUUCACUGUACUUAACAGCGACCGGAGGAAAAGAUAAACCGGAUUUAAGGACAAAAGCACAGUCCUGCAAUUAUGGAGUGAUGCAAGUCUCGAUGAUAAGGGAUCAUUGUGUUUGGUUUGCUCAAUAAGAAGACGGCUAACACUAAGCCGGGAGCUGUCGCUAAAGUGCCAGCACCAACCAGGACUACACUGCACCGCUGUUCCACUGUUACUGUAUAUCACCACACCUGCACUAAGAGCUCUCGCUGUCAGGA